UUAAUAAUGUGUUCCUUAUAUUCAAAAAUAUAUACCAUUGUUUAUAUAUAAAAAUCUGAUAGAGUUUAUUGUGUAAGAGCCUGGGCUCUGGAGCCAGGCUGCCUGUGUCACCACUUAUUAGAUGUGAGACCGUGGGCAAGUUGUUGAACUUUUGUUUCUAAGUUUAUCCUGUAAAAUGAUGAUAAUUAUAGUACUUACCUCACUGGGUGAUUAGGAAGAUUAAAUUAAAUGUAUUUAGAUUAGAUUAAAUGUAUUUAGAACACUGUGUGGAACUUAAAUAUGUAAGUAUCAUCUAGUAUUGUUACUGUUAUUUUACAAACAAACCUCAUUGUUUUACAGCUCCUUAGUGACCAAACAAAAUGACAUUUCCCUGUAACUGGUCCUUAGAUAGCACACCCGUUAGCAACAAGUUUCAUUUCUAUAUAUAGGUUGUACUUUGUCCUUACUAUGAAUUCCCCAAUGCAGAGAUUUCUAGAAACCUACCUACUAUUGGUUGAAGAGGCACUUCUGAAUUCUUUCCAAGAAGCACUGACAAAAAUCAAACGUCUAUGUUCUUUAUUUUCAAGAAGCUCAGUUUCCGCUUGUGUCAUAUCUCUGAGGACAGGUACAAGAGCGAUUGAAACUGCCCAUUGAAGCCAAUAUUACAUUAAUUUCACCAGCCCUGAAUUAGAGAGAAUAUUUAUCUACUUCCCCAAUUUUCACCUUCUUCUCGAUGCAUGACCUUUUCCAGCUCCCUGAUCUGACAAUAGAAAGCUGUAUAAGAAAGAAGACAUUUGUUGUGACUUGAUUAUUCUGAACUGAACACCCCAGGAGGCCUGAAGAUUUGGAAGAUUUUGGUAGAAUUUUUUCAUGACCUGAAACAGUUUCAGUGAAAUAAAAACAAAAACAGAACAAAAAACAAAGCAAAAAACCCAAACAACUGUUAAGAUACUGGGAUUUAUUGUUAGCUGUCUUAAUGGCUAAUGAAAUGACAAGACCUUCUAAUAACCCCUGCCAAUUAUACCGACAGGUGUUUACCAGGUAAAAUAUUGCAGUACCUGUAAGAGGAAAGGAUGCAAAUUGGUAUUUAUACAUUUGGAAGAACAGUCACCUUUGAUGUGCCUAUUUGGUUUUCAGGAUGUUGCUGGCCUCUGCUCUUCUAAGACUUCAGCUGCAGAACCCACUUGUGAACCCUCCUAGGGCUCUGGAGAAGAUCUAAUGGGAGAUUGAGUGUGGAAACUCUUUGGAAACCAUGAAGCACUCCGUAAAAGGUCUUGCUGUAACAAAAGUAAUCCCCAUCACCUGAAAGUGGAUUUCGUCAGAUGAAAAACGUAAAAAGUAGAUUGAUGUAAAAGCCCAGAUGAUGCUUUGCUGCUGGUCUCUGAGUAGCAAGAGUCAGGGCCCUUUCUGGGGUAUCUCUUCUUCCCUUGGCACAGAAAGCAUCAGGAAAAUGGUUACUGGCCAGAGGCUUAAAGACACAUGGGAAAUGCACGGUACCUCUGUAAGACCAGAAAUAAAACAGACAAGUUAAACAAAGAAGAGACACAUGAAUUAAAAUAUGACAUUAUUACACACACUGAGUUGGAGUGAAAGAUGGACCAUCCAGGCAUUCACUGGAUAUUAGUGAAGCUGUUUUUGAAGUUUAAUUUGAAGCCCCAAAUAAGAGUCAUCGUACCUAGCUACAGCCUUUCACUAGAAAGAAAAAAUUCAACAUUUUCUAUUAAGGAGGAACUAAAACUCAAAGGUACUGAGUUGUAAAGUGCCAAUUUACACAAAUCUCUUCCCUCCUCCAAAAGUUUCUAAUGAUUAUGGUUUCUGGAAAAUAAGGUAUCAUGUUUUCAAUGCACACUCAGUCUACAAAAAAGCCCUUCAAAAACUUUAAGCUAGAAAGACAGGUAAUUUUCCAGUAUCAUAGAGAUAAUUCACGCCAGUCACAAGAUGUACAUUUUUAGAAUUUGGAGCAUUACAAGGAGAGUAAAGCGUUUUGCAUGCAUAUGUUCAUGUGCAUACCCCCACAUCAUUAAAAUCUUCCAAGGUGUGACAUGCAUUUACAGAGUCACUCCCCUAGCAUUUCAACUGUGAGGCGUUUUUCUAGAAGAUUCGCUCAGUUGGCCGAUAGGCACUUUGGCAAUCUCAUACGUGACUUACAAACAUUGUGAUGUACUUGCCAGAAGUAAAUCCGACUUUGCUAAUCACUUAUCAGUUCUUUUACCCACUAUGGCUUUGUUUGAGAAGCAAUGUUGCUUGUCUUACCAAUAUAUAUUAUCCAGUUUGCAGAAAGUAUAAAUUAAUAUUGCAAACAGCAACAGGAUAUCCUGGGUGCAAAUUCCUGCGUCCUGGUGGGCACAGUGCUAUUUAGAACUAAUAGCUCUUUCUUGCACUAUUGCCACUGCCAAACAGACUGCUUAUGAGAUCUUUGGCUUUCUUCAUGUCUCUUGGGGGAUCAAUAGAAUGUUUCUAUUUUCCUAGAUGCCAACUUUGUCUCCUUUAUACUUUAAAAAUUCAGUAUUAGUUUAAGGAUACUUCAAGAAUACAGUAUUAGUUUAAAGGACUUUUCAAUUUAAAGCAAACUUGUAGAGAUUUAGUCACCCACGAUUGACUGAUGUUAGGUGAGUAGAAAAAAAAAUGUAGGUUGAUUUCAUACUCUGCCUUUCAGAUCUUUGAAGGGGAAAUAAAGUUUUUGAAAACUGUUCAAAUUUUUUAAAGUAACUUAAGCUACAUUGCUCUUCUGUUUUUAGCUAUAGAAAUGGGGAAGUGUAUAUAUCAGCUAUUUUUUCUUUAAGGACUUAUGUGAAUUUUUCUCUUAGUGUAAACAUUAAUAAUUGGAAAUUAUUGAAUUGUCAUCUUAAUGUUGCACAUGAAAUAAAUCUGAUAUGUGUAUUAGCAACAAAGACUUAUGUCCCAAACAGGAAAGAAUAAUUCAUGAAACCAAAUUUGAAGUUCAAGCAGAACUGUGACAUUAACAAAUUUGUAUUUCCCUUUUUCUUGGCCCUGUUGGUCUUUGUGCAGUGUAUAAAUAACUACAAAUAAAGAACUAAUGAUCACA